AUUGAGCGCUGGUGGCAGGCCUAACACAUGCAAGUCGAGCGAGCGGCGGACGGGUGAGAAAUGUCUGGGAAACUGCCUGAUGUAGGGGGAUAACUACUGGAAACGGUAGCUAAUACCGCAUACCAUCAGAUGUGCCCACAUGGGAUUGGCUCGUAGGUGGGGUAACGGCUCACCUAGGCGACGAUCCCUAGCUGGUCUGAGAGGAUGACCAGCGACACUGGAACUGAGACACGGUCCAGACUCCUACGGGAGGCAGCAGUGGGGAAUAUUGCACAAUGGGCGCAAGCCUGAUGCAGCCAUGCCGCGUGUGUGAAGAAGGCCUUCGGGUUGUAAAGCACUUUCAGCGGGGAGGCGUUACCCGCAGAAGAAGCACCGGCUAACUCCGUGCCAGCAGCCGCGGUAAUUC
rnacentral:rRNA from 1 species